UGGGGAAUAUUGGACAAUGGGCGAAAGCCUGAUCCAGCCAUGCCGCGUGUGUGAAGAAGGCUUCGGAUUGUAAAGCACUUUAANUUGGGAGGAAGGGCAGUUACCCUAAUACGUGAUUGUCUUGACGUUACCGACAGAAUAAGCACCGGCUAACUCUGUGCCAGCAGCCGCGGUAAUACAGAGGGUGCAAGCGUUAAUCGGAAUUACUGGGCGUAAAGCGCGCGUAGGUGGUUUGUUAAGUUGGAUGUGAAAUCCCCGGGCUCAACCUGGGAACUGCAUUCAAAAACUGUCAAGCUAGAGUAUGGUAGAGGGUGGUGGAAUUUCCCUGUGUAGCGGUGAAAUGCGUAGAUAUAGGAAGGAACACCAGUGGCGAAGGCGACCACCUGGACUGAUACUGACACUGA
rnacentral:rRNA from 1 species